AGCCCAGUAACUCAAUUGGUAGAGUAGCAGAUUCUGAUUCUGUAGGUUGUACGUUCAAAUCGUACCUGGGUUG
rnacentral:tRNA from 1 species